CUUGGCGUUGGUUGUCCAAGUUUAAGGUGGUAGGCUGAAAUCUUAGGUAAAUCCGGGGUUUCAAGGCCGAGAGCUGAUGACGAGUCGUCUUUUAGAUGACGAAGUGGUUGAUGCCAUGCUUCCAAGAAAAGCUUCUAAGCUUCAGGUAACCAGGAACCGUACCCCAAACCGACACAGGUGGUCGGGUAGAGAAUACCAAGGCGCUUGAGAGAACUCGGGUGAAGGAACUAGGCAAAAUGGCACCGUAACUUCGGGAGAAGGUGCGCCGGCUAGGGUGAAGGAUUUACUCCGUAAGCUCUGGCUGGUCGAAGAUACCAGGCCGCUGCGACUGUUUAUUAAAAACACAGCACUCUGCAAACACGAAAGCGGACGUAUAGGGUGUGACGCCUCCCCGGUGCCGGAAGGUUAAUUGAUGGGGUUAGCGCAAGCGAAGCUCUUGAUCGAAGCCCCGGUAAACGGCGGCCGUAACAAUAACGGUCCUAAGGUAGCGAAAUUCCUUGUCGGGUAAGUUCCGACCUGCGCGAAUGGCGUAACGAUGGCGGCGCUGUCUCCACCCGAGACUCAGUGAAAUUGAAAUCGCUGUGAAGAUGCAGUGUAUCCGCGGCUAGACGGAAAGACCCCGUGAACCUUUACUGUAGCUUUGCACUGGACUUUGAGCCUGCUUGUGUAGGAUAGGUGGGAGGCUUUGAAGCGUGGACGCCAGUUCGCGUGGAGCCAUCCUUGAAAUACCACCCUGGCAUGCUUGAGGUUCUAACUCUGGUCCGUAAUCCGGAUCGAGGACAGUGUAUGGUGGGCAGUUUGACUGGGGCGGUCUCCUCCUAAAGAGUAACGGAGGAGUACGAAGGUGCGCUCAGACCGGUCGGAAAUCGGUCGCAGAGUAUAAAGGCAAAAGCGCGCUUGACUGCGAGACAGACACGUCGAGCAGGUACGAAAGUAGGUCUUAGUGAUCCGGUGGUUCUGUAUGGAAGGGCCAUCGCUCAACGGAUAAAAGGUACUCCGGGGAUAACAGGCUGAUACCGCCCAAGAGUUCAUAUCGACGGCGGUGUUUGGCACCUCGAUGUCGGCUCAUCACAUCCUGGGGCUGAAGCCGGUCCCAAGGGUAUGGCUGUUCGCCAUUUAAAGUGGUACGCGAGCUGGGUUUAGAACGUCGUGAGACAGUUCGGUCCCUAUUUGCCGUGGACGUUUGAGAUUUGAGAGGGGCUGCUCCUAGUACGAGAGGACCGGAGUGGACGAACCUCUGGUGUUCCGGUUGUCACGCCAGUGGCAUUGCCGGGUAGCUAUGUUCGGAAAAGAUAACCGCUGAAAGCAUCUAAGCGGGAAACUUGCCUCAAGAUGAGAUCUCACUGGGAACUUGAUUCCCCUGAAGGGCCGUCGAAGACUACGACGUUGAUAGGCUGGGUGUGUAAGCGUUGUGAGGCGUUGAGCUAACCAGUACUAAUUGCCCGUGAGGCUUGACC
rnacentral:rRNA from 1 species